rnacentral:rRNA from 1 species
UACGUAGGGCGCAAGCGUUGUCCGGAAUUAUUGGGCGUAAAGAGCUCGUAGGCGGCUUGUCACGUCGGGUGUGAAAGCCCGGGGCUUAACCCCGGGUCUGCAGUGGAUACGGGCAGGCUAGAGGUAGGUAGGGGAGAAUGGAAUUCCCGGUGUAGCGGUGAAAUGACGCAGAUAUCGGGAGGAACACCGGUGGCGAAGGCGGCUAUCUGGACCGUAACUGACGCUGAGGCGCGAAAGCGUGGGGAGCAAACAGG